rnacentral:rRNA from 10 species
GAGCGAAAGUGGAUGAGGCUAAACCGUGUGUGUGUUCAAGCCGGCAGGUGUUGCAUGUGCGGGGUUGUGGGGGCCUUGUGGUUCUGCUGCCGCAGGAUUGGCCAGUGAGAAAUGUUGCGUGAAGGUGAAGCGUCUGGGAAGGCGUACCGGAGUGGGUGAGAGUCCUGUAACUGUAAGCGUGGCACUGGUGUGGGGUUGCCCCGAGUAGCGUGGGACUCGUGGAAUUUCGCGUGAAUCUGGCGGGACCACCCGUCAAGCCUAAAUACU